UACGGGGGGAGCAAACGUUGUUCGGAAUCACUGGGCGUAAAGGGCUCGUAGGCGGCCAACUAAGUCAGACGUGAAAUCCCUCGGCUUAACCGGGGAACUGCGUCUGAUACUGGAUGGCUUGAAUCCGGGAGAGGGAUGCGGAAUUCCAGGUGUAGCGGUGAAAUGCGUAGAUAUCUGGAGGAACACCGGUGGCGAAGGCGGCAUCCUGGACCGGCAUUGACGCUGAGGAGCGAAAGCCAGGGGAGCAAACGGG
rnacentral:rRNA from 1 species